AGUCGGAUGUGAAAUCCCCGGGCUCAACCUGGGAACUGCAUUCGAAACUGGCAGGCUUGAGUCUUGUAGAGGGGGGUAGAAUUCCAGGUGUAGCGGUGAAAUGCGUAGAGAUCUGGAGGAAUACCGGUGGCGAAGGCGGCCCCCUGGACAAAGACUGACGCUCAGGUGCGAAAGCGUGGGGAGCAAACAGGAUUAGAUACCCUGGUAGUCCACGCCGUAAACGAUGUCUACUUGGAGGUUGUGCCCUUGAGGCGUGGCUUCCGGAGCUAACGCGUUAAGUAGACCGCCUGGGGAGUACGGCCGCAAGGUUAAAACUCAAAUGAAUUGACGGGGGCCCGCACAAGCGGUGGAGCAUGUGGUUUAAUUCGAUGCAACGCGAAGAACCUUACCUGGUCUUGACAUCCACGGAAGUUUUCAGAGA
rnacentral:rRNA from 1 species